rnacentral:lncRNA from 1 species
CUGGCUCCUAAACUUUAUCAACGAUUUCGUCAAGUUUGUGAGCAAUGGCCUGUGGAUAACACUACAUUUGGAAGAGACCUCGGUGCACAUAUCAAGGAGAACUUCGGGGCUAACAUGAAAAAUUCAAAAAUCGAGACCAUUGAAGCUGAAAAGUCAUGCUGGACAGUCUGGUGAAAAUUAGUUCCAACUAUACAAAGAGAAGCUAAUCUUAAGGCAAACUUAAAGCUUCGAUCAUGCUAGCUUCAAGCCACUCCAAACGCCAUUUGAUAAAGACUCUUCUUAUUUUGAAGAAACAGGAAGAAACCUCCGGACGAGCUCCCAUUUUGAGGACUGUUUGCAUUCCUGGUAUAACUUUUGAUCAAGCUGUAGGCCAAGAGGCAAAUCGGAUAAUUUGGUGCAGACAUUCUGGUUUGAAGGACAGAGGAUUUCUUUGGACCUUAGAUUGUUUAUCAAGAAAAUUGAUUCUGGAGGGAUUUUAGCCAAAGUUUGAAUUUUGAAGAAUUUUGAAGAUGUCCAGUUGAUUUUGUACGAAAUACUGUGACUGAAGUCUCCUACCUUUCCUAAUUUUAAGAAGGGAAAAACAAAAUUUACUGUAAGCCGUGAAAUACUGGACAGAUUGGCCUCAAACUCAUCCUAGACCCACGAGGAUCAAUACGAAAUAGGGCAACAUCUUGCAAACAUGUAAUGGCUAGCCACAAGCAAGGACCUUUAAAGCAAGGUUUGUUCAAGACAUAGCCUAAAAAGGCCCACGUAUUAAAGUUGAGGACAGUGUGACAAAUUUCAAGGAGUAUCAAAAUCAAGGAA